rnacentral:rRNA from 1 species
GCGGUGUUCUUCAAGGUUGAUUUUCAGAAAGCUUACGAUACGGUGCAUUGGUCCCUCCUUCGGGAAGUGAUGAUGAAACGUGGCUUUGACCCGCAUUGGAUAGCAUGGGUGAUGCAGCUAGUCACGAGUGGACGCACAACAAUCGAUAUCAAUGGAGAGGUUGGUCCUUACUUCCCCAAGGCUCAGGGAGUCAGACAGGGCGACCCCCUCUCCCCCUUCCUCUUCAGCCUUGUGGUGGAUGCAUUGGCGAAAAUCCUGGAUUUGGCCAAGCGUGCCGGCCACAUUAGGGGUAUUUGUCCCUGUCGGAUUCAGGGCUCUGCGGACCCAAGAAAGUUCGAACUCUGGGGCGUGUGCGAAGAACUCAACCUCUCCAGUCUACCAACUCGUCGCUCUCACGGCCUAGCUCGACGUGCAGGAAGGAAAGAGACUCAGCAGUUUACCCAGGUUCGGGCCACCUUGCGGUGUAAGACCCUACUCCUGCUUUGGGGUGGAUUAAUCUCGCGAGGGGCUGAAGGUAAACUAGUACAGGGGAAGAACAACCUCAGGAGGUCUGUUCUUGUGUUGGUGUCGUCUUCUUCUCCUCAGAUCUCUCCUAUGGUAGUGGCUAGCCUAUAUUUAUAG